UACGAAGGGAGCUAGCGUUGUUCGGAAUCACUGGGCGUAAAGCGCACGUAGGCGGAUGUGUCAGUCAGGGGUGAAAUCCCGGAGCUCAACUUCGGAACUGCCUCUGAUACAGCACGUCUUGAGUCCGGAAGAGGUGGGUGGAAUUCCUAGUGUAGAGGUGAAAUUCGUAGAUAUUAGGAAGAACACCGGUGGCGAAGGCGACUAACUGGACAGGUAUUGACGCUGAGGUGCGAAAGCGUGGGGAGCAAACAGG
rnacentral:rRNA from 1 species